UGCAAGCGUUAUCCGGAUUUAUUGGGUUUAAAGGGUCCGCAGGCGGUUAAAUAAGUCAGAGGUGAAAGUCUAUAGCUCAACUAUAGAAUUGCCUUUGAUACUGUUUGACUAGAAUGUAGUUGAAGUAGGCGGAAUGGUGUAGUGUAGCGGUGAAAUGCUUAGAUAUUACACAGAACACCAAUUGCGAAGGCAGCUUACUAAGCUACUAUUGACGCUCAUGGACGAAAGCGUGGGGAGCGAACAGGAUUAGAUACCCUGGUAG
rnacentral:rRNA from 1 species